rnacentral:rRNA from 1 species
AGUGAACGCUGGCGGUAGGCCUAACACAUGCCAGUCGAACGGCAGCACAGUAAGAGCUUGCUCUUACGGGUGGCGAGUGGCGGACGGGUGAGGAAUACAUCGGAAUCUACUUUUUCGUGGGGGAUAACGUAGGGAAACUUACGCUAAUACCGCAUACGACCUACGGGUGAAAGCAGGGGAUCUUCGGACCUUGCGCGAUUGAAUGAGCCGAUGUCGGAUUAGCUAGUUGGCGGGGUAAAGGCCCACCAAGGCGAGGAUCCGUAGCUGGUCUGAGAGGAUGAUCGGCCACACUAGAACUGAGACACGGUCCAGACUCCUACGGGAGGCAGCAGUGGGGAAUAUUGGACAAUGGGCGCAAGCCUGAUCCAGCCAUACCGCGUGGGUGAAGAAGGCCUUCGGGUUGUAAAGCCCUUUUGUUGGGAAAGAAAAGCAGCAGGUUAAUACCCCGCUGUUCUGACGGUACCCAAAGAAUAAGCACCGGCUAACUUCGUG